AUGCCUAUAGUUACUUGUCUUAAGAAGAUCAAGGACCAAUUAAUGACUAGGUUUUAUAGCAAGAAUCUGGAAUCUGAGGAGAUGUGUGGUCAAAUUUGUCCAAAAAUUAGAAAAAAACUGGACAAAAAUAUUAACAUGUCCAACAACCGCACUGCAUUACCAGCUGGACAACACAUAUUUCAUGUUAAAGGCAUGGUUGGGGAGUAUGAUGUGAACAUACAGAAGGAGGAGUGUUCUUGUAGGGCAUGGCAGCUCUCUGGAAUUCCAUGUAGACAUGGAGUUGCAUGUUUAAGACAUGAAAGAAUUAAACCAGAGGAUGUUGUCAACAAGUGCUACAGCAUAGAUGCUUUCAGAGCUGCUUAUGGCAAGAUCAUAAUGCCAUGUAGUGAUCCUAGAGUGUGGCCUAAAACUAAUGGGCCUCAAAUGCUGCCACCACACUAUGAGAAGAAAGUUGGUAGGCCUGGAAAGAAGAGAAAGAAGAACCCACUAGAGGAGGACAAUGGAACUAGGAUGAGCAGACAUGGCAUUAUUGGACACUGCAGUGUGUGCAAUCAACCAGGACACAACAAAAGAAAGUGCCCUGAACUAGGUAGAGGACAACCAACAGCAGCACAUGAGGCAGGAGCAGAACAAGAUCCAGCAGCAGAACAAUAUCCAGCAGCAGAAGAGGAAGCAACAGAACAUGUGCAAACAACAGAACAUGUGCCAAUUCAGGUUGUGCUUCCAGAAACACAACAAAGAACUAAACUACCAGUCAAGAGAAGGCCCAGUUGCAAGGUGCAUUUCCCUUAA
rnacentral:rRNA from 1 species